UGAGGAAUAUUGGUCAAUGGCCGAGAGGCUGAACCAGCCAAGUCGCGUGAGGGAAGACGGCCCUACGGGUUGUAAACCUCUUUUGUCGGGGAGCAAAGAGAGUCACGUGUGACUCAUUGAGAGUACUCGAAGAAAAAGCAUCGGCUAACUCCGUGCCAGCAGCCGCGGUAAUACGGAGGAUGCGAGCGUUAUCCGGAUUUAUUGGGUUUAAAGGGAGCGUAGGUGGAUUGUUAAGUCAGUUGUGAAAGUUUGCGGCUCAACCGUAAAAUUGCAGUUGAAACUGGCAGUCUUGAGUACAGUAGAGGUGGGCGGAAUUCGUGGUGUAGCGGUGAAAUGCUUAGAUAUCACGAAGAACUCCGAUUGCGAAGGCAGCUCACUGGACUGCAACUGACACUGAGGCUCGAAAGUGUGGGUAUCAAACAG
rnacentral:rRNA from 1 species